GCCGCCGCGGGGCGGGAGGCGGCCAUGUCGCUAUUGUCUGCGCUGGUGCCCUUGCUCCGGGUGUACUGCAUCGGCCUCCGCGUCAUCCUGCACCAGCUGCGCCGCCGCUUCCAGCCGCGCUGCGCCCCGGCCUCAGGUACUCAUUAAUGAGUGAAGGAUCAAAAGGUGGGACGGUGGCCAAGAAGCAAUGGAGAAUAAAAGUUUAGAAGGUUCCCCAUCUGACCUAAAGUUAGUGGCUCACCCGAGAGCAAAGAGUAAAGUGUGGAAGUACUUUGGGUUUGAUACCAAUGCGGAAGGAUGCAUAUUACAGUGGAAGAAGAUCUACUGCCGUAUUUGCAUGGCACAGAUUGCCUAUUCAGGAAACACGUCCAACCUUUCCUACCACCUUGAGAAAAAUCACCCCGAUGAAUUCUGUGAGUUUGUGAAAAGUAACACUGAGCAAAUGAGGGAAGCCUUUGCCACAGCAUUUUCAAAAAUCAAGCCUGAGUCAUCACAGCAGGUUGUUCAAGAUAGCCUCAUUAUGAAGACCUACCAGAACUAUGAAAACAAAAAACAUCAGGAACUAACAUCUGCAGUCAUCAGCUUAAUUUGCGAGGGCAUGUAUCCAGCCUCCAUCGUUGAUGAACCUACCUUCAAGGCCCUCUUGAGAACAGCGGACCCCAGGUAUGAACUUCCGAGCCGGAAGUACUUCUGUACAAAAGCGAUUCCUGAAAAGUACAGUGCUAUUAGAGAAAUUGUGCUGAAAGAACUGACUGAGGUUCUGUGGUGUGGCAUAUCCACAGACAUGUGGAGGAGUGAAAACCAGAACAGGUCGUAUGUAACCGUGGCGGUUCACUUUCUCAGCAGCAGUCCUGCCAACUGCCUGGCUGUGAACUCGCGGUGUUUGAAAACUUUUGAAGUACCAGAGGAUAACACUGCAGAGACCAUUACACGAGUCCUUUAUGAAACAUUUAUUGAGUGGGGGAUCAAUACAAAAGUGUUUGGUGCUACAACAGAUUACAGUAAAGACAUAGUAAAAGCUUGCUCUCUCCUAGAUAUUCCCGUACAGAUGCCUUGUUUGGGCCACACUUUCAAUGCAGGAAUACAACAAGCUUUUCAGCUCCCCAAACUCUGCAACCUUCUUGCCAGGUGCCGAAAGCUGGUGGAGUAUUUUCAGCAGUCUACUGUCGCAAUGUACAUGCUGAGCGAAAAGCAGAAGCAACAGAAUAUUCUCCACUGCAUGCUGGUAAGUGACCGUGUUUCCUGGUGGGGAAGCACGCUCGCUAUGCUGCAGCGCCUCAAGGAGCAGCAGUUUGUCAUUGCGGCUGUUCUCGUGGAGGACAGCAACAACCACCACCUCAUGCUGGAAUCCAGUGAGUGGAAUACAAUCGAAGGGCUGGUGGAGCUGCUCCAGCCUUUCAAGCAGGUUGCAGAGAUGAUGUCUGCUUCCAAGUACCCGACGAUAAGCAUGGUGAAACCACUUCUCCAUAUGCUUCUGAAUACAACUCUGAACAUCAAAGAGAACGAUUUGAAAGAAAUCAGCAUGGCAAAGGAGGUGAUUGCUAAAGAGUUGUCAACCACCUACCAGCACACACCUGAGAUAGACAUGUUUCUCAAUGUUGCAACUUUCUUGGAUCCCCGCUACAAGAAACUGCCUUUUCUUUCAGCCUUUGAGAGGCAGCAGGUGGAAAACAGAGUGGUGGAAGAAGCAAAAAGCCUGCUGGAGAAAGUAAAAGAAAAUAGCUUUAGAACUGAGGAGAAAUUCUUCACUGUUUCAGAAGAGCCCCCUAUGAAAAAAAUCAUCAUCUCCUCUACUCCUCCUCCUACUAGUGUCAUCAACAACAUGCUCGCAGAGAUCUUUUGCCAGACAGGAGGCGUGGAAGACCAGGAGGAAUGGCAUGCUCAAAUCGUUGAGGAGUUGAGCAACUUCAAGUCACAAAAGGUCCUUGGUUUGAAUGAAGACCCGUUGAAGUGGUGGUCUGACAGACUAGCACUGUUUCCAGUUUUACCAAAGGUUCUUCAAAAAUACUGGUGUAUUCUGGCCACGAGGGUCUUCCCUGAACGCCUUUUUGGUUCUUCUGCUAAUGUUGUGAGUGCAAAGAGAAACCGGUUAGCCCCAGCUCAUGUGGAUGAGCAGAUCUUUUUGUAUGAGAACAGUCGCAAUGGGUCUGAGGCAGAACCGGAGGAUGAAGAUGAAGGAGAGUGGGGUUUGGAACAGGAACAGAUUUUUAAUUUAAAUGACUCCGUAAACAUAAACAAUAAUUUCUUUAAUAUUCGAGACAGUGGGUUUGUUUAACAGGACUGCUGCGGUACAUUUAAUGACAAAGAAAAGAGGUAUUUGUCUUAAGUUACCAAAAAUUCUUCUGUUUUAUGCUAUGAAUGCUGUAAAUAUUGAACAGUUGUAACAAACUUGAUUUAGCUUCCAUUGUCUGUGUUUUUCCCACUGUCUUAAAACAUGAAUGACUUGUGAUCAAACAGCACUGAAAUUAAUGAGGAAAUAAAUUCUUCAAAGACCGUGGUUUCUGACUGUGGCCCAGAUUUCAGAAAGCACUUAUCCAUGUGCUUCCUUUCCACUUGUUUCAUUAGGAGACAAACACAUGCUUAUGUGCUUUCUAUCAUAAAAUUACUUUCCUGAGUUAGGACCUUGAGGAAGUUUUUAAAGUUUAUGCCUCCAUUUGUAAAUCCUGUGUGACUCAGGAUGAUAGCUUUAAAUUUUGGAUUUUAAAAUGUUUUUUAAAAUCCACAGAUCUGAGCAGUGAAUAUUUUUAGAAUAUAUUGUUGGUAUGGAAUGAAAAAAAUCUUGAGCCUGAUUUUCACUACCUCAUGUCUUAGGUCUGGUCUAUGCUAGAAAAGUUCAGCCGGUAUAAUUCUGUUGGUUAGGAGACUGAUGUGUUAUUAUUUUAACUGAUACUGUGCUGGCAUAGGCUGUAGUGUGGAUGCAUUUAUACCAGGAUAAUUUAUUUUCCUUUCCAGUGCAGUGUAAAUGGUAUAAACACUUAAACUGGUAUUACUGUGUCCACAUUAGUCCAGUUUUACCAUUUAACUGCAGCUAAAUGGCAAAAUUGGUUUCUUGUUUGUUUUGCUUUGUGUCUAAGCAAGUCCUGAUUGUAGUCUCUUGUGCUUUUGCAAAGUGGGAACCAAGUGUGGGGUUGAGACAGUGUUGUGUUACCUUGACCUUGUGCUGAUGCCGUGUGGUGUGUAGCAGUCAAGGCAUCAGCACUUUGGUUAAGGAGGGAGGGAUAGAGGGAAGGAGAGGGCAGGGAGACGUCUACAGGCCACGGGUCUAACGGUUUGUCUGUGUUAUAAAAUCCUUAACCUCUUCAUUUAGUGGGGUCUUUGCCCAGGGUAGCUAGAAUAUUUUGUUGGCAAGAAAAGGAAAAUAAAAAGCUUUAAUAUUAUGUAAAUAUAUUUAAAAGAAGGGGACCCCUCCAUUUUCUCUAAUGUAUUUAGUGAAUCUUUAAAAUUGUUUUUUGUUAUGUUAGCACUUAAUAACUUUUUUCACCUGUCUCUUUUUGAUUCAGUUUGUAGAGUGGACUUCAGUCCUUUCCAGUCUAACGUUUGAGUACUGUUUCCGAUUAGUUGUGUAUUGUAACUACUCCCUUUGUGUCUCCAAGCAUAAGUUUUUUAAGCCCUUUUGAGAACUUGACAAACAAGGAAAAAGAAAGGAAACCAACCUGAGACACCCCCCCCACCCCACAUCUCUUGUGAAAUACUGCAGUCAAACAUGAUCAGAGUUCACGCUAGGCACAAAGUUGGAUGCACCACAUUUUUUUUUCUGAGAUGCUGUGGAGGACUCUUGGCAUUUUCCAGUUACAGUCAAGGUUUGCUUGGGGUUUUAUUUCUGUUACUGGUGUCUCACCCCCCCACCUCUGUGUUAAGUCUACAACUAUGUUGAGCAAUAUCUGUCUGUUACUCUUCUGGAGGAAGAAAGUUGGGGUUUUUUCACACUGUGGCACCCAGGGACAUUGGGUUGUAAAAAGGGCACAGACAGCAGGAACGUACAGAAAUGAGAAUGGCAAUGGAAUUGAAUCUAUUGCCAAACUGUUUGUUUAUGGUUUGGUUUAAUCGUUUUUGAAGUUUGAGGCUUCUGUGUUCUUUGUAGGUGGUGGGAAGUGAUGGGUGAGUGAGGAAGAAGAACAGAGGUUAGGCUGAAGGAACAGUGAAUACAGCAGAGACAUCUUUUUGGAGGGGCAAUAGAAGAACAAACUUCAGCUUUUGAGUACUUUUAUGCUAAAAAAGUGAAUUUUUAAACAGGCUGUCAAAGUAUGUACUCUGUGUCAAAAGAAGAAUUGCCUUUAUCACCAACUAGCUGUUGCCAAAUCAGGAUUAAAACUCAGUGGGCUAGGUGAGGUUACUUGGAGUGACAAUAUAACUAAAGGGAGUUUUGUGUUCCUGACCAACCUCCCUCUGCCAUCAGGGAUUAUGUGAAGACAAAGAGAAAAGCCUGAACCAUGCUGAAGGUGAAAAGGUGAAUUUUUCCAGCAAACAAUGUCUGAAGUGCUUUCAUUUAAAGGAGGGCAAUAAAGUUCUGUAUUAUUUAUGGAAAGGGUGUAUUGUUUUAAGUUUCUAAUGUAGCAGUCUAUUAGAUUAAUUUCAAGCAUUUUCUUUUACCGAUGUCAUGGUGUCCAAUUAGAUUUAUAGGCAUAUUUGUAAGCAGGCAGGAAUAUUAAAAGCAAAAGAAACACAAAUUGGUUGUUUGUAAUAUUUUAUAGGAUUUCUGAAAACUUAAAAGUGACAUGUGGUUCUUGAUUUUUAUCCUUUUCACAUGACAGCUUAAAAAGAAGGGGCCGCCUGAGGACAUCAUUUCUGAAGGAGGGGAAGUGCAUGGGUAUGAACACAGAAGUAGUGUAUUUUACAUAUUCCAUGACAACUGGGGAAAGGAAACUUUAUGCUAGAAAAAUUACAUUUUAGUCUCUGUACACUGUCUUCCACUUUUGGUAGUCUCCAUUUGUGAAGAUCUGGUGAUCCUGGUUCUGGUGGCGUUAUCUAGUCUAGACUGCCUUUUUAGCUCUGCUGAAAGGAUUCUCGAGGUCUGUCAAGUUUUAUGGUUUGUUUUUUUUUUCCCUUUGGACCAUACUAAAUGGUUUGUCUUGCCUUAUCUCCUACAAAUUAAUGUUCUGCUAAAUUCAAAACAUUUUUAUGAGACAUAGGGAAAUUAUGGAAAUUGGUUUUGCUUUUUUAGUAACAUUUGGUGCUGAAGAGAGCAUUUAAAGAUACAGCUUCAUUUUAUGUCUGCCUUAAGAGCACAUCAGUAAAGCAUGUCUUAAUGAUACUAUUUAAACUGUAAUUUCAAAACAUCUCUGCAGCUGCAAUUUGU